rnacentral:rRNA from 1 species
GAGGAAAGAGGGAGGCGUGCUUAACACAUGCAAGUCGAACGAUGAUGCCCAUCUUGCUGGGUGCAUUAGUGUCGAACGGAUGAGUAACACGUGAGUAACCUGCCCUUGACUCUGGGAUAAGCCUGGGAAACUGGUUCUAUUACUUGAUAUCACUUCUCAUCGCUUGGUGGUGGGUGGAAAGAUUUAUUGGUCUUGGAUGGACUCGCGGCCUAUCAGCUUGUUGGUGAGGUAAUGGCUCACCAAGGCGACGACGGGUAGCCGGCCUGAGAGGGUGACCGGCCACACUGGGACUGAGACACGGCCCAGACUCCUACGGGAGGCAGCAGUGGGGAAUAUUGCACAAUGGGCGCAAGCCUGAUGCAGCGAAGCCGCGUGAGGGAUGACGGCCUUCGGGUUGUAAACCUCUUUCAGUAGGGAAGAAGCGAGAGUGACGGUACCUGCAGAAGAAGCGCCGGCUAACUACGUG